rnacentral:rRNA from 1 species
UACGUAGGGUGCGAGCGUUAAUCGGAAUUACUGGGCGUAAAGCGUGCGCAGGCGGCGCGUUAAGACAGGUGUGAAAGCCCCGAGCUUAACUUGGGAAUUGCGCUUGUGACUGGCGUGCUGGAGUGUGGCAGAGGGAGGUGGAAUUCCACGUGUAGCAGUGAAAUGCGUAGAGAUGUGGAGGAACACCGAUGGCGAGGGCAGCCUCCUGGGCCAGCACUGACGCUCAUGCACGAAAGCGUGGGGAGCAAACAGG